rnacentral:rRNA from 1 species
CCAGCACCCCGAGUGGUCGGGACGAUUAUUGGGCCUAAAGCAUCCGUAGCCGGCCUUACAAGUCCCCCGUUAAAUCCAACUGCUCAACAGAUGGGCUGCGGAGGAUACUAUAAGACUAGGAGGCAGGAGAGGCAAGCGGUACUCAGUGGGUAGGGGUAAAAUCCGUUGAUCCAUUGAAGACCACCAGUGGCGAAGGCGGCUUGCCAGAAUGCGCUCGACGGUGAGGGAUGAAAGCUGGGGGAGCAAACCGGAUUAGAUACCCGGGUAGUCCCAGCUGUAAACGAUGCAGACUCGGUGAUGGACUAGCUUAAUGCUAGUCCAGUGCCGCAGGGAAGCCGUUAAGUCUGCCGCCUGGGUAGUACGGUCGCAAGACUG